rnacentral:tRNA from 1 species
UCCUCGUUAGUAUAGUGGGUGAGUAUCCCCGCCUGUCACGCGGGAGAACCCGGGGUUCGAUUCCCCGACGGGGAG